UUUUUAUUCAGUUAAUACUAUACUAUUGUGAGCAUUUAAACUCUGGUCAUGGUAAAAGAGAAGGACGCUCUCCGGAGACUACUGCCGGAGAGCGUCAUAGUAAAAGAGAAGGACGCUCUCCGGAGACUACUGCCGGAGACAGUUAGCCGCCUAGCUAGCUGAAAUAAAACGGCGCUUAGCACCGACCUUGUUUAUGCUAAAAUAACUGACGGUAAAAGUGGCUCGGAAUUAUUCAAAUAUAGCAUUUUAGUUUUAUUAUUCUGUUAUUUUAAGAAGACAGCGCUUAUUUAAAAAGGUAGCUGGCUGUACAGCAGGUGUCUUGUAUAGCUAGCUAGCGUCAAGGGCUGAGUGCAUACUACUGUACUACAUAGUAUAGUAAAAUAGUACGCGGGUAAUUAUGUAGGCGUACUGUUUAGUACGGUAGUGUGGAGUUUAGUACUCGCCUCGCAGGUUAAAUAGCGUGAUUGUAGCUUUAUGCUUCAUUUUAAACACACAUUCAGAUUCAAAUACACUAAUUAAUUUGCUAAUUAAUUAUCAUCCUGAAAGCGUUAAAUUUUAUGAGGUCGGAUAUCGAAAAUAAAGGUAUAACAUUAUUUGAUAUGUUGGCAAAGGGAAGGUGCACGUAGUAUUAAAUGCAUGGGUGCCAAUACUUGUGACAUGCUUUUAUUUUAAAAUGUUACAUAUAUUUUUGAUGUUUUUUUCCCCCCUUAGGACAGUAGAUGUCACAAUUAAUGUUUGCCAGUUACACGCUGAGAUGAAAAAACAUUAACACAUGAUUUGAUGUUUUACUUGUUUUGAAAACAUACACUCAUUUCAAAUCUGAUUACUGCAACACACUCCAAAAAAGUUGGGACAGUCGUAACUGUGUAACAUCACCUUUUCUGUUUGGGCACUGAAGACAUCAGUUGGUUAAGUUUAGCAACCAGAAUUUUCCCCCAUACAUACAUUGUGCAUUUCUUCAGCUGCGUAACUACGUUAGCUUAAUUUGUGCUACAUAAUGUGCCACACAUUCUCAAUGGGAGACAGGUCAGGACUGCAGGCAGGCCAUGCUAGCACCUGCACUCUCUGCUUACGCAACCAUGUGUUUGUGAUCCAGGCAGAAUGUGGUUUGGCGUUGUUGCUCCAAUGUGUGUACAUAUCUUUCUGCAUUAAAGACGCCUUCACAGAUGUGCAAGUUACCCAUGCCAUGGGCACUGACACACCAUGACAUACCACGACAGACGCUGGCUUUUGGACCUGACGCUGAUAACAGCUUGGAUGGUCCUUUUCCUCUUUGGCCCGGAGAACACAAUGGCUGUUUUGUCCAAUUUGAAAUGUUGACUUGCUACUCGAUUCCACUGUGCUACUGCCCUUCUCAGAUGAGAAGGAGCUCAGAUAUCUGGUUGUAAAAUCAGAAAUCAAUUUGAAUCGUACACAAUAGUUGGUAGAAUUAAUAAAAAAAAAUUCAUUGUCAAGAUGCCCUCGAGAAAGACAACAGAACAUUGUGUGAAAAUCCUUUCUUUUAUUGAUUAAUCAAGAAAAUAGCUUGCCUUUUUCUAGUAUAAAAACUAAAGUAAAUACAAAAACAAUCCACAUAUUGGUAAAUUCCUCUAUAAUAUCCUUCUAAUCAAGGAUAAGAAUUAAGAUGUAAAAUUUCAUGGAUGCAGAUCAACUUGAAGUUCUGCAUAUAGAAGGAAAUGGGUUUUGAGAAAAAACGGUUUUAAAAAUACAACGUGGGUUAAUGUUUGGCCACUUGAGAGGGGUUUAUAAAGGAAAUCAAUAUGCAUAUAUCAUGAAAAAUGCUUUUAGGGAUAUGUGAUAUCAUCAUUGCGCCAAGUGAACCAGGCAGCAGAGUUUCAGGUGAUGUGGUGAUUGUGGGUGGAUAAUGACAAAGAAAUAAACAUAAACAGAAGACAUGUUAUAGAUGCAGUUUCUCCAAAAAUCUGGAAAUAAAAAAACCUGGCCAAAAUGUAGACCUUUUUAAUUAUUUUUCCCCAAGGGUGCCAAUAAUUCUGGAGCCGACUCUACUCGUUAAAUUGCCCACUCAGCGUAUUUUGUAUGAGUGUUGCUAAGGUGCCAGGAUUUCUACACUUUGUGUAAGUUUACAUAAGCGUGGGAUGUUGCACACUGAUGACUACAGCUCUGCACCUUCAUCCCUUUCUGAUUCACUGCAGCACAUCUCCACCCAGCUGUUCAUCUUAUCACUGUCACAUCAGUUCCUGUGAAUUUAGUAAACUUAAUCAGCCUCGAGGUUGCUCUUUUAAACCUCAGCUUCUACCACGACUGAGUAUUUCUUUAGAGAAAAGCACUCUGAGGGAAAUAGCUGUCGGAAAUAAUCUCCUUCUCUGGCGUGAUUCACAGGAUCUUAAGCACACAGCUGUCGAGCGUGACUCCAUCAGUCGUGGGCUGUUGAGUUCUUUCAGUCUGUCAGAACUUGACUGCAUUUUUAGAGCACAGCGUCGCUCGUGGUGAACUGCUCUGACUCGGCUCCAUUAGGUCACAACCCCCUUUAGCUUGUCUGUCAAUCCGAGCCAUGCAGAUGGAUCACUGACGUUUUGAUUGUCACAGCUGCUUAAUUCAUAAGAAAAAAGGGAAAAGUCACUCUGGAUAAAAGCGUCUGCCAAAUGCCUUAAAUGUAAACGGAUCCGGAUGAAAAUGGAAAACAAGGCAGGAAUACACAAUGGAUAGGAUGCCUUAAGGGUUUUUUUGUGUUUGUGCGUUUCUCAUCAGCAGCGCAAGUGGUGUCUGAGCCCCGGUGUGGCCGAGGCGGACAAUGCGGGGUUUGCGCUCCAGGACGGACUCCAUAGCCGUGCCGUUGAACUCGGCUGUGGAGACGGAAAAGGCGCAGGCGCUGCUCCAGACGUUCAGCACAGCGUCUCUGCUGGCCAGCGCUGGACUCGGAGCCUUCUGCCUCCUAGCCGAUGCUGUCUUAAGCUCGUCGUUUAUCCAGCAGCACACGUGGCUCAGGGCCGUGCUGGACAACUCGGUCCAUGGCGUGAUCGCACUCUGGUCUUGGGCCAUCGUCAUUGGCCUGAGGAAGAAGAGUGACUUUUAUGAAGUGUUGCUGGCUGGCUUCCUCGCCUCCGCCAUCGACCUGGACCACUUCUACAUGGCCGGAUCACUGUCACUUAAAGCAGCUCUGAACCUGCCCCGGCGUCCUCCUCUGCACUGCUCCACGCUGGUCCCGGUGCUCUGCUUCUCACUGCGCCUGCUCAUGUGGGCGUGCAGGCUGAAGGACUCGUGGUGUUCGCUGCCCUGGCUGCUGUUCAUCUCUCUGGCGUCACACCACAUACGGGACGGAGUGCGCCACGGCUUGUGGCUCUGGCCCUUCGCCAACACGCCACCGAUCUCCUACUGGCUGUACGUCACCAUCACGGCCACCCUCCCUCACCUCUGUUCUGUGCUCAUGUACUUGACCGGCACCAGAGACAUGAUCUCUACUAAGCACGGCGUGGCCAUCGACGUCUGAUCUGACGGCUUUCCAUAUGCUCUGCGAUAAAGAAGAAUUACUGUUCUGCAAGGAAAUGUUUGCACUGCAGUUGUGUGAGCUGAAGUUCUGGGGUUCUGCAGCACCUCAGUUACAACUGCAAGUCCUUCUUGUCCCUUUAUGUAAUUUAACCAGCUCAUCAGGGGUCAACUUUGCUAUCAGGGUUUACUGACUGCUCUAAUUGGAACUGUAUAUUUAAACUAUUUAUAAUCACAAAAUUGACAAAAGCUCUCUUUUUGAAGGAAUCUUUGCCAUACCAAGCCCACUUGUCUGUGAUGUUUUCAUAAUUUUUUUUUCUUGCUUUGUUUUUUCAACAAAGCCAUUUUCAAGCGUGACCAAGUAGAUGAAAAUUUGCUAGAUGAUGCUAUUUAAAGGUAUGUUUCAGCCCGAAACUGAAAUCUGCCCAAUUUCCAUACUCCUCCAGGUUCCAUUAUGCUAAAACCCUGUGUGUCCAUCAUUUGUUAGCAGCAUUAACCUCUAACCCCAAGCAGAGCUCAACAACAAUCAUGUCUUGGUUGUUUUACUAGAUUUGGGAUGAGGGCAGCAUUUUGGGCUGCUAGUUUCCUUUAAAUGCCCUUCCAUGUUCAGGGAAGUCCAGAGAUGCUGUAGUAGCCAUCAGGAUAGCACAGAUUCUGGCAUCAGUGAUCAAAACCUUCAGCCAACCGGACAACCUUCUGACCCGAAUACACGCAAAAAAGCUCAGCAGUGUAGGUUCUACUGGAUACAAACAGGGCUUGGCAUUUCCUUAUCAUUGCUGUACUCAUCGCUGAACCCAGGAAUCAAGACUUAAAAGCGAUUCUUUCCCUUGGAUAUGGACAAAAACGUGAACUAAAGGUAUCCGAAAGUUAAUAUUUUGUCCAGCAGGGGGCAUCAGUGCACUAAAAAUAGUUGUUUUGUUCGCGUACUGUUAUGUUGCCACUGUGUAAUUGUACAUAUGGUUUCAUUUUGCACUUUUUUUAUUUAUGAAUUGUGUUAAUGUCUUGUUAAGUAAUUGUCAUAAUUUAUUAUUGAUGAAGAACGUGUGCUCUCCAGGAAUAAUCUUGAACUUGAGCUGAUCGCAGCACUUGCAUGAUUUACAGCCUAUCAGGGGCCAUCAUGUCAGGUGAACAGAAAAUCAUGUGCACUUUUUAAUUUGUGAACACUGUGUGCCCAGUUUAUUUCAGGAUUAAAUCUGAGGAACAUUCCAGUCGGUGUUUAAAACAGACUUGUCCGUGUCAUUAGCCGCAUUAUCACAAGGAAGCCACUACACUCCUAAUAAGCAAACAUUCAGUCUGACCUUUCUCUAACCCUGAAUCACUACAGGGAAGUGGGGAUUUGUGUACUGUGGACACUAUCCCAGCACAAUAAAUAACUAUAUGUUUAUGCAGGAAGAGUGACACUGCCAAUAAUUUAUGAGGCCAGUCACUUCAGUGUGUUUAAAUAGCAUUAAUUUACCUUGUUUGGUCAAAUAGCAGCGGUGUUUAAUCCUGUGUGUUGUUUGUAAAUUAAAUUGAUUGUUAGCUAGAGGGUAAACUGUUCCUGGCUCCAGUACAACGUGAGCGUAAUGACUAAGGUAUUUCCUUGUCAGCUGAAGCGAGGCGUCUCGGCUUCACUCCAAAUAGGUCCAAGUCUGUCUAAGGAAGGACUAAGACAAAUGCAGGGAUUUAUUUAUUUAUUUAUUUAUUGGAUGUGACCUCAGUUGCCUGAGCCUGUAAUGAGAGAUGCUUGAUUCAGGUUUGAGAUAGCUCAACGUAUGAAGGAUGAAAUCAUUUGUGGAAAUGUCUCAAUGCAUCUUUCUUCGGUUUUUGGGUUAAGAGUAGUGGUUAAUGAUCACCAAGUAAGGAAUAAAACAUGGCUGGGCAUGCUAGAUUGGAAAAUUAAUCAACAGUGAAGUUAGUUAUUUUCUAAUAAUGGUAUGUCCCAGAUCCCCACUUUUAUUUCCAAAUCCCACACCAAUUUGCCCACUCGAACAAUUUCGUAUUUAUUAAAGUACGAGUCGUCGUAUAUUUUAUACAUUUUAUACAGUGUUCUAAAAGUCUCCAUAUAUAUAAGGGUCUAUGUUUGCCAGCACCACGUCGAUUGUCCUCCGUCAGUGGAUGUUCGUGGACGUCCGCUUCUCAGUCGGUCCGAAGCACUUCCGGUCUUUUUGAAUGUGUUAAUAAGUUUGGCAACAGUGUCGUGUGUGAUGUGCUCGUCAUGUUUCCUGUUAAAGUUCAUCGCAGCCUUGCGACAGCUUCCCGAUCCAGCCAUGAGAGUGAUUUCAACACGUUCUUCUUUUUUCAAAAGUGUUCUUAAUGACUAUCUGAAAAACCAUAUAAAAUAUACUAUUUAUGAAAAAUUUUGGAAGACAUUAAUUUCCUUUAUGUAUGGAGACUUUUGGGACACCGUGUACUUACAGUUAAAUUUGUAUUAGUUCCGGUUAUAUCUUUAUGUAAAAAAUAAUAAUAAUUGAAAUAAACAGUCGUGCCCUGUUUAUGUUCCUGAGAAAGAGUGAAGCACAAAGUCCUCUCUCCUGAAGACUUUCCAAUUUUGAUGUUAAACAGAAGUAAAAUUACAGCUUUACAAGAGAUCCUGGAUACUGGAGACUCCUUCCUAAAAUGCUAAAAUAAAAAACACCUCACAGCGAACAUCACAUUAACAACUACACAUUUUAAAUGAGUUUUUAUGAUGAGGCUGCCGUACAAGUCCACGUAAUUGAGUUGUUAGAAAUCAUUUGUAAGUGCGUGCAUUCGUAUAAAUAAGUGAUUUUCCGUGCAGCUGGAGCUGGUCAGACCCGCUGUUAUAGAAAAUUGUGGUAUAAACCAUAUAUCAUACAAUUCUGCAAUGUUAAUCUACAACAUUGUGUUGCUGAUGUGUUUAAACAAAUCACACCAUCAAUUACAGGAGGACCAAACUGUGAUAAAAUAACUUUUUAUUUCACAAGAAUAUGACCAGAAGAGUAAUAAACCAGCUUAUAUUGUACACAAAAGCAGAAUAUACUAUACAUACAUUUCUCAUGAUCUUUGUUUUUAAGAGUUUAUCAUCACACACAUCAUAUCAUAUCAGGCCAUUACACAAAAAGAAACCAUUCUAGACAAAACAUUUAACGCUGACGACACUAAAGAUACUUUCUGUCGAAUGCGAACUGAAUGGAUUUGACACAACAUCGCCAUAAUCAAAUGCUGUUUCACAUCAAUCUUAAUGUUUUUUUGUUUGUUUAGUUUUAGAUUGGCACAGCGCCACCUACCCUACAUAAACAGCAUAAGACGCCAAAAGGAGCUCUAAAGUCACGCUUCAAAUCAAGUAAAAACAGGCAUGCAGUUUCAUUGUCCUGAUCCGCAUUUGGAAAAUGAGAUAAGUCGCAUUCUUGUUGUUCCAGAGAAACAGCCGUGUGUGUGUGUGUGCAGAAGCAUGACGUGGUGUUUUUGCACUUUGUUGUAGAAUGAAUACACACCAGACUCAUAUCUAGGAGUCAUACAUUAUAUAUAUAUAGAGGAUCUUGAAGUUUACUACAGAUGGUUUUUAGGUAAGAUGUUAGAAGGUAAGAUAUUAUUAUUAUUAUUCCUUUCUCUAGCAUGCUAUUUGAAUAAUUUUGAGUUCAUUAAAGUAUUUUAUUUCCUAUAUCUUAUUAACAUUAUUGUGGGGCAGUGGUGGCUCGGCGGUUAAGGCUCUGGGUUACUGAUCGGAAGGUCGGGGUUCAAGCCCCAGCACUGCCAAGCUGCCACUGUUGGGCCCUUGAGCAAGGCCCUUAACCCUCUCUGCUCCAGGGGUGCUGUGUCAUGGCUGACCCUGCGUUCUGACCCCAGCUUCCUGACAUGCUGGGAUAUGCUUUGCUUCUACUACUGUCUGACAUCCACCUAAAAUAUAAUCACACCUAUAACGCAGUGAUUUUCUUCUGAAUAUUUCUUCAUCCCCUAGAAAUGAAUUCCUUCACUAGGCCUCUGACACACACACACACACACACACACACACAAAGGAAUUCCCUCCACAUUCCUGUAAGUAGAGGUACAAAUAAUAUGUAAUAUGUACAGUAAUGAGGUUUAAACAAGGCAUGAAGUUUACUUCUGAGUAUUCCACAGCACUGAGCAGUGAUGAAGGUUAAAAGCGGCUCCUCGCCAUCAUUUUGAGACGUACUAUCAUAUCACGCUAGAUUUUGCAUGCAUGAAUUUUGGUAGAGGCUUUUAUCCGACGCGCAAGCACAUCCUUGUUUCCUUUCCAUGCUUCACACUCACUCACUCACUCACUCACUCUCUCUCUCUCUCUCUCUCUCUCUCUCUCUCUCUCUCUCUCUCUCUCUCUCUCUCUCUCUCUUCUUGAUCAGAUGUUUUGCUACACAAGCCAUCCUGGAUGAUGGCUUAUGAAGUGUGAAUUUAAAGCCUAGCACGUCUGACUGCAGACAACGAGGUGCCGGUACACGCCGAAUGAACUCCAGUCAGAACGUUAUGACACGUGUAUCACUAUUGUUGAGGUUUUAACAUAUCCAACAACCCUCACAUUCAUCCCACUCAACAACUUGUCUUUCUACCUCACAGGAAGUGGUGGCUCAGCAGUUACGGAUCAGAAUAAUGCGAGUUCAAAUCCCAGAACUGCUAGAUCAUGUGCUCUGAGCCUGGCUUGUAAACAAGCUGGGACAUGUGAGGAAAGGAGUAUUUGUUAAUUUUCUGUAAUUACAGCUCUGACAGUAGUGCUGACUGGAAUUCAAAUCUCAGGUUUAUGUUAACACACUCGCUCUAAUAUGAUGUUUCUUUAAGGACUUGUAUGUUGGAUGCAACACAUAAUCUAAACCUAUAAUAAACGGAUAAAAAAAAGUAUUUUUGAACCCCCCCAAAAAAUGAUAAUUGGUUAUGUGGUGAAGGAGACACCUUUCUUUUGGACAGUGAAUUAAGCUUUAGUUAUUUUGUAACAUGACAAGCUGUGUUGUUCUUAUCUUAUUAACUUCAAGAGAGGGAAAAAAGAGAUUUUAUAUAUAUAUAUAUAUAUAUAUAUAUAUAUUCUUUGAUGGAUCUUCAAUGUUAAAUUUAACUACAGAUCACUAAAAUGUAGGCGUCAUUUUCUUUUUUUAAAAAAGAAAAAAUCCUGCUAUAAGAAUAGAAGAAUAAAAACGCCAUGCUGUUAUGGGAAAAUAAUCAACUUUAUUUUCCUAGAACAGCACUUCCAUAGUUGUUUUUUAUAUAUAUAUAUAUAUAUAUACAUACACAUACACAUACACACACAAAAACCCUUUUUGCAUGUCAGUCUUUUUACAGGGCUAGAGAAUCCAUAGCACAAGCUUAACCAUAGAAAGCACCCGCGUAUUUACAUUUGCUCAUUUCCCUGAGGCUUUUAUCCAAAGCAAAUUACAACUGAGACACAAAUGAGUGAGUGUAUUCUCAUUGUGAGAGUCUACUCUAUCCUCAGAGCUGAUGAGAUCUGUCCCUCUGAUCACUUCCCAGGUCAUGGGACGAAGAACAGAAGAGUGUCACGCAGAAUUAGAGUAUUCCUAAAAACCUCACGGACUGAAACUCGCUACUUUCCCAUCAAUCACUAACUACUGAGCCACCUCUGCCCUAGACAUAUCCAGUGUUGUCUCUGCAUCAUGGUGUUUACAACUUUCCACAGAAAUGUCCAGCAACAAUGCCAACACAGUUCACUAGGGUGCAUUCCAAACCAACCAGGACACGACACACGCGUCACUUCUAAAACCUUACACUGGGG